rnacentral:rRNA from 1 species
AUUUCAGGUGUAGCGGUGAAAUGCGUAGAGAUCUGAAGGAAUACCGAUGGCGAAGGCAGCCACCUGGGUCAACACUGACGCUCAUGUACGAAAGCGUGGGGAGCAAACGGGGUUAGAUACCCCGGUAGUCCACGCCGUAAACGAUGUCUACUAGAAGCUCGGAACCUCGGUUCUGUUUUUCAAAGCUAACGCAUUAAGUAGACCGCCUGGGGAGUACGGCCGCAAGGUUAAAACUCAAAUGAAUUGACGGGGGCCCGCACAAGCGGGGGAGCAUGUGGUUUAAUUCUAUGCAACGCGAAGAACCUUACCUACACUUGACAUACAGAGAACUUUCUAGAGAUAGAUUGGUGCCUUCGGGAACUCUGAUACAGGUGCUGCAUGGCUGUCGUCAGCUCGUGUUGUGAGAUGUUGGGUUAAGUCCCGCAACGAGCGCAACCCCCUAUCCUUAGUUGCUAGCAGGUAAUGCUGAGAACUCUAAGGAGACUGCCGGUGAUAAACCGGAGGAAGGUGGGGACGACGUCAAGUCAUCAUGGCCCUUACGUGUAGGGCUACACACGUGCUACAAUGGCGCAUACAGAGUGCUGCGAAUCUGCGAAGGUAAGCGAAUCCACUUAAAGUGCGUCGUACUCCCGAUUGGAGUCUGCAACUCGACUCCCAUGAAGUCCGAAUCGCUAGUAAUCGCGUAUCCGAAUGAC